GGCUCUGAUCCUGCCCCAAUGGAUCUGGGCUCAGGUUCUGAUCCUGCCCCGAUGGAUCCAUGCCCAAGUUCUGAUCCUGCCCUGAUGGAUCCGUGCCCAGGUUCUGAUCCUGCCCUGAUGGAUCUGGGAUUGGGUUCUGAUCCUGCCCCAAUGGAACCAGGACCAGACUCAGGUUCUGAUCCUGCCCUGAUGGAUCUGGGCUCAGGCUCUGAUCCUGCCCCGAUGGAACCAGGACCAGACUCAGGCUCUGACCCCUCCCCAGGACCCAGGAAAAGCUCGGGGGCCGCUCCCAGCCCAGCUCGUUCUGCCCCGGGAGGUGCCCGGCGCUGCCCGGAUCCCUCCCCGUGCCCAGGGCGUGCCCCUCCCGCCAGCUCGGGCACCGAGAUCUCCCGAUAGGGGCUGAUCUCUCUCGGCAUCUCCCCGCGGUUGGGA